rnacentral:rRNA from 1 species
GUAGGGAAUAUUGGGCAAUGGAUGCAAGUCUGACCCAGCCAUCCCGCGUGCCGGAAGAAGGCCCUCAGGGUUGUAAACGGCUUUUGACGGUGAAGAAUCGACAGGAUGCGUCCUGUUUUGACGGUAGCCGUUGAAUAAGCACCGGCUAACUCCGUGCCAGCAGCCGCGGUAAUACGGAGGGUGCGAGCGUUGUCCGGAUUUAUUGGGUUUAAAGGGUGCGUAGGCUGGAAGGUCAGUCAGCGGUGAAAAGCUGUCGCUUAACGAUAGUCUUGCCGCAGAUACUUCCUUUCUUGGAUGAGGAGGAGGCCACUGGAACGGAUGGUGUAGCGGUGAAAUGCAUAGAUAUCAUCCAGAACACCGAUUGCGAAGGCAGGUGGCUGUACCUUAAUCGACGCUGAUGCACGAAAGCAUGGGGAGCAAACAGGAUUAGAAACCCGGGUAGUCC